UACGGAGGGUGCAAACGUUGCUCGGAAUCAUUGGGCGUAAAGCGCACGUAGGCGGACUGUUAAGUCGGACGUGAAAUCCCUCAGCUUAACUGAGGAAGUGCAUUCGAAACUGGCAGUCUUGAGUACGGGAGAGGGUCGCGGAAUUCCCGGUGUAGAGGUGAAAUUCGUAGAUAUCGGGAGGAACACCAGUGGCGAAGGCGGCGGCCUGGACCGAUACUGACGCUGAGGUGCGAAAGCGUGGGGAGCGAACAGG
rnacentral:rRNA from 1 species